ACGGGAGCGGCGCGCGGAAUGCUGGGAUAGUGGAAGUCCGCCCAGCGCUACCUGCGGGUUUAGCAGUCCGUCAGAGUUAGAGGCGGAUUAUUUUGAGCAUUUACCGUUUUAUCUGGACUCUCUGAAUUGACAAAUUUGGCGUCCGGGGGGUCACAGCUAAUUAGCCAGCCAUGAAGACUGAAGAGGCACGUCUACAUAUCAAGUUUGUAAGACAUCCUUUCAGGGAUCUCACAUUGGUUUCUAUGGGAACAAGAAUGGCUCUGAAGAGGAGCAUUUUAAGAACUCUUUUCACAUUCAGUGACUGCUAACUGAACUGCAAAUUCUGUUUGUUAACGGUUUUUAACUCUUAAAUUUUAACACAGAAAUAAAAGUUGGGCAUUCUAGCUUCAUAAAUCAUUUUAAAUAAUAAAAACUAUUUUUAUGAAACAUCUGGCACAUUGAAACAUUAGAAAAUAAAAUAACUAGCUUUAGGAGCUAAUAAUUUGUUCACUUUAUUAAAUUCAUUAGUGAUUAAUCCAUAUUGGCCUUGUGCUUUCUCUUAUGUAAAGAAAACAUAUCUGAUAUAUUGUUUCAAUACAUUUUCUCUGCUAUUGA